rnacentral:rRNA from 1 species
UGGGGAAUCUUGCGCAAUGGGCGAAAGCCUGACGCAGCGACGCCGCGUGCGGGAAGAAGGCCUUCGGGUUGUAAACCGCUUUCAGGAGGGACGAAGCCACUCGGGUUAAUAGCCCAGAGGGUGACGGUACCUCCAGAAGAAGCCCCGGCUAACUACGUGCCAGCAGCCGCGGUAAUACGUAGGGGGCAAGCGUUGUCCGGAUUUAUUGGGCGUAAAGCGCGUGUAGGCGGCCAGGUAGGUCCGUUGUGAAAACUCGAGGCUCAACCUCGAGACGUCGACGGAAACCAUCUGGCUAGAGUCCGGAAGAGGAGAGUGGAAUUCCUGGUGUAGCGGUGAAAUGCGCAGAUAUCAGGAAGAACACCCGUGGCGAAGGCGGCUCUCUGGGACGGUACUGACGCUGAGACGCGAAAGCGUGGGGAGCGAACAGGAUUAGAUACCCUGGUAGUCCACGCCGUAAACGAUGGGAACUAGGUGUGGGCGGUGUCGACUCCGUCCGUGCCGAAGCUAACGCAUUAAGUUCCCCGCCUGGGGAGUACGGCCGCAAGGCUAA